GAUGAACGCUGGCGGCGUGCUUAACACAUGCAAGUCGAACGGAAAGGCUCCUGCUUGCAGGGGUACUCGAGUGGCGAACGGGUGAGUAACACGUGGGUGAUCUGCCCUGCACUUCGGGAUAAGCCUGGGAAACUGGGUCUAAUACCGGAUAGGACGAUGGUUUGGAUGCCAUUGUGGAAAGUUUUUCGGUGUGGGAUGAGCUCGCGGCCUAUCAGCUUGUUGGUGGGGUAAUGGCCUACCAAGGCGUCGACGGGUAGCCGGCCUGAGAGGGUGUACGGCCACAUUGGGACUGAGAUACGGCCCAGACUCCUACGGGAGGCAGAAGUGGGGAAGAUUGCACAAUGGGCGCAAGCCUGAUGCAGCGACGCCGCGUGGGGGAUGACGGCCUUCGGGUUGUAAACUCCUUUCGCUAGGGACGAAGCGCAAGUGACGGUACCUGGAGAAGAAGCACCGGCUAACUACGUG
rnacentral:rRNA from 1 species